UUUGUUGAAAUGUAGAAGUAGUUUUUUUUUACAUGUAGUAUUGGAUCAUGGGUCCAUUGGUUUGGAAGAGUGUGCUUAGUAGCUGUAAUAUUUACAUGAUUUUUUUUAGUAGAUUUAUUGAGCAUGAGGUUUUAGGUUGUCGUUCCAAGUUUUACUUUUAUUUUGUGAAUUUUAUGCUAAGUUCAUGUGUUGUGUUUCCCUUCGAAGAAGAGGGGGUAUAUUGCUUUGCUCAUGUCGGUCGGUCGGUCGGUCGGUAGGUCGGUCGGUCCGUCCACCAGGUGGUUGUCGUAUGAUAACUCGAGAACGCAUACGCCUAGGAUCAUGAAACUUCAUAGGUAGAUUGAUCAUGACUCGCAGAUGACCCCUAUUGAUUUUGAGGUCACUAGGUCAAAGGUCAAGGUCACGGUGACCCGAAAUAGUAAAAUGGUUUUCGGAUGAUAACUCAAGAACGCAUACGCUUAGGAUCAUGAAACUUCAUGGGUAGAUUGAUCAUGACUCGCAGAUGACCCCUAUUGAUUUUGAGGUCACUAGGUCAAAGGUCAAGGUCACGGUGACCCGAAAUAGUAAAAUGGUUUCCGGAUGAUAACUCAAGAACGCAUACGCCUAGGAUCAUGAAACUUCAUGGGUAGAUUGAUCAUGACUCGCAGAUGACCCCUAUCAAUUUUGAGGUCACUAGGUCAAAGGUCAAGGUCACGGUGACCUGAAAUAGUAAAAUGGUUUUCGGAUGAUAACUCAAGAACGCUUUUGCCUAGGAUCAUGAAACUUCAUAGGUAGAUUGAUCAUGACUCGCAGAUGACCCCUAUUGAUUUUGAGGUCACAAGGUCAAAGGUCAAGGUCACGGUGACCCGAAAUAGUAAAAUGAUUUUCGGAUGAUAACUCAAGAACGCUUUUGCCUAGGAUCAUGACACUUAAUAGGUACAUUGAUCGUGACUCGCAGAUGACCCCUAUUGAUUUUCAGGUCACUAGGUCAAAGGUCAAGGUCACAGUGACAAAAAUCGUGCUCACACAAUGGCUGCCACUACAAUGGACAGCCCAUAUGGGGGGCAUGCAUGUUUUACAAACAGCCCUUGUUUAUGAAAUAUAUAUAGUGGAGCUAUCCUACUCACCCCGGCGUCGGCGUUUCCGUUAGCGUUAGCGUGAAAAUUUUUAAGUUUUCGUACUACCCCAAUUAUUUUCAUUGUCCCUUGACAUAUUGCUUUCAUAUUUUGCAUACUUGUUAACCAACAUGACCCCAACCUAUAAACAAGAGCAGACAACUGUAUCAAGCAUUUUGACAGAAUUAUGGCCCCUUUUAUUCUUAGAAUAUGCAUAUUAUUGAUAAAUCUAUGUGAAAGUUUGCAUACUACCCCAAAUAUUUACUGUGUCCCUUGACAUAUUGCUUUCAUAUUUUGCAUACUUGUUAACCAUCAUGACCCCAACCUAAAAACAAGAGCAGACAACUGUAUCAAGCAUUUUGACAAAAUUAUUGCCCCUUUAUGCAUAUUAUUGGUAAAUCUAUGUUAAAGUGUGCGUACUACCCCAAAUAUUUCCUGUGUCCCUUGACAUAUUGCUUUCAUAUUUUGCAUACUUGCUUACCAACAUGACCCCAACCUAUAAACAAGAGCAGACAACUGUAUCAAGCAUUUUGACAGAAUUAUGGCCCCUUGUAUACUUAGAUAAUUGAACAUUUUGCUUAAAUUGCCAUAACUUCUUUAUUUAUGAUCAGAUUUUAUAAAUACUUUGACAAAACAACACUUACCUGAAUACCACAAUGGAUUCCACCCAAACAAAACUCCAAGCCCCAACCCAGAAUCCCUGCCCC